AUGGAGUUAAUACUUUAUAGUAAUUAACUAGUUUUAAUGACCGUUAUGUUUAGUUUUCAGAGAUUAGUUUCUCUGACAAUAACAAGUAAAUGUUAUUGGAAUUGUUCUUUGAAAACUAGAUAAUAGACAUCUAGUUAUUUUAAUCACUUGAUUAAAAUAACAAUAAUUCAAAAUUUCUGUUAUUUUUAAAAAAUAACUAAAAUUUCACAGUUAUAUUUGUAAAAGAUUCUCAAAAAACUGAUUUAAAAUCAGGUCAAAUAAUUUAUAAAA
rnacentral:misc_RNA from 1 species